GCAGAGGGGCCAACAUGGGUGACACUUAGAGAAGCCUGGAGGAGUAUGAGGAGGCCUGGGAUCUGUAUGCCAGGGGAGAAGAUCCAGCCAGCUCUUUCUCCUGGAACACUCUCUCUCAUCUAGCUAGUAUAAUGGGUGUCCAGGUGGACACAGGACAGACACCCACCCGCUCUUUUCCUCUGGUUCUGGUAAAUAGCCCCUCAAUAACCUUGCAGGCAGCAAUAAUUUAUCUGGGGCAAGACUCAAGUAUUCCUGGGUUCUUAGCUAACAUAGCAUCUUAUUACCAUGCGAUUAUUACCUCUUCAUUACCAGUCACCUUCCUCUGGAAAGCAUAAUUCUGUGAGAAGAAUAUCCCUGCAUAAUAGUGACCCCCUACACACAUACACACAUACACACACACACACACACACACAUACUCUGAGGCUACCUGAGAUGCUGCAAUGAAUACUCAGCCCCUAGACACAGGAGGAGAGGAGUGUCUGUGAGCAACAGACAAAAGAUUUAUGUGAAAUGGAUUUCUGAGAAGCCAUAGAAAGGGAAGACAUCUGUCUGUCUAGCAGUUAUUAAAAGGCGGGGAAAGAUCUGAGGCUCAUAUGGAUGGUAUAACUAUAAAUUAAUAAAAUAAUUUCUGAACACUUUAUGGAGUCAGCCUCAUACCUCAUUCAUGCAU